CUGCCUGCAGAUUGAAACGCCACGUAUGAGCCACAGGCUGCGGCCGCCGCGCCCUUUGAGCGCCGCGCCGUCGCCAUGGCUACGCAGAUAAAGAUCAGGGCCCCGGGUAGUUAUUAACAAGCGGGAGGAUGAUUCACCACCAAGAGGAAAUCCUGGUGAUGGCAACCGAAACGCUGCGUGUGCAGAAAACUGAAGCAGGAAGAGAAAAACGUAAUUUACUGCUGAACACUGUAAAAACACAAAACCUUACCAAGUCAUUUAGUCUAGUUUUUAUGGCACAUAUCUUAGAAUGCUUGAAAUAAGACAAAACUAACUUACAAGUAACUUUUCAGCAAGAUAUAAGAGCUUGUUUUAAGUUAGUAACAUUGAUGAAAAAGUUCUAGCGCCAUUUUUAUACUAUUUUACGUAUAUCAAGACAUUUUUUCCAGGUUACAAGUUAAAUAAUCUGCAGUAGGACUAAGAAUUUUUCGUCAGUAUUAAGUAAUUACUAGCUUAAAACAAGCCUUUAUAUCUUGCUACAAUUACUUGUAAGUUAGUUUUUGUCUUAUUUAAAGCGUUUCUAAGAUAUUUGCUAUAAAAACUAAACUAAAUUACUUGCUAAGGUUUUGUGUUUUUACAGUGUUCUUUGUAUUAAUUGCCACUUUCAUACUUUCAGCCAAAACGUUUCACACCAACCGUCACAUUUUGUCACUUUGUCACAACAAGGUCGCAGACAUGGCUGCUUAGCAACUUCUGAAAUCUGAAAAGUGUGGCUUGCAUUUGUAACCAGCUACAGUCUCUACUUUGUAGAACCGACUGUCACUGCAGAUCCAGAUGCAAGUCUUACCGGAGAGAGCCUCACUCUUCAAGUCUCGCCCCAUAUUCUUAAUUAGAUUUAGUUCUGGACUUUGACUAGGCCAUUCUAACACAGAUUUCUUGUGCUGUAUAUCAUCCGCUAAGAGGUUUUCUUCCUGUCUUUAGCUCCUCCAGCUCCGACAAAAUGUUUCCAGACAAACAGAAACAUGGCCGUCCUGACCGUCUGCGCUCACAAAUAGCAAACACUUCAUCGUUAUCCCGAAGACGCUCGGCGCCACAUGGACAGAUUAGGAAUGGAGUUUGAGCCCACAGACACGGCAGGAAUCUGAUCCCGACCCGGCAGAGGGAACCGAGGGAACCGAGACCGGCUUCCCUUUUUGUUCGCCUUGUUUCUCCUCUUCCUCUUAUGUAACUGUGAAGCUCAGAGCUGGGAGAAUAAACUCUGAAAACUAAAACACAUCCUGUUAUUCACAAUCAAACUGAUAUCUUAUAUUAUCAGAAACUAAAACUAAAAAAAUGUUUAAAAAGCUCAUUUUACUGCUAAGCGAGACAGCAGUAGAUCACAGGUCUGCAAUGGCUCUUAAUAAAAACAUAUAUAAUAACAAGUGCAGCUUUUUAGCCACUUUUUAAUUGUUUUCCUGCAAUAUUUGCCUUGAAUUUCCACAAAAAAUGCCACUAAAAGCACCAGGAACAUGUUUUCAUAGGUUUCGCAGCAAAAUGUGCAGAGUUAAGUCAACAAGCGAUUGCACAGUUACAACUAUUUCCAGUGUUAAAUUUACUCCAUCUCUUGUUGAAAUAACUGGAAGAGUUAAAUUAAUACCAAUUCAAUUCGGAAAAGAACCAAACAGAUUUAACUCUGCAAAUAUCUUAAAAUGAGACAAAAGUAACUUUUAAUCAAGAUAUAGGAGCUUGUUUUAAGUAAAUAAUUUCUUAAUAUUCAUGCAAAAGCACUAGUGACACUGGUAGAAUAUUUCUUGCUGAAAAGUUACUUUUUAGUUAGUCUUUUAUUUGAAGUGUAAUAAGAUAUUUGCAUUAAAAUGCUUUGCAACAUGUUGUGUUUUUGCAGUGCGUUCGCCCAGUGACUCAUGCAGAUGUUUGGAAUAAAAACAGGCUGUUGUCAAACGGACCGGGUCAUAUGAUUAUCGCUCAGCGCCUCUCUGCAGACUGAAACGUGUCCCGGUCCGACCCAGCAGCCCUUCCUGCCGUGCCACCCGGCCUCGCAUACUUCAUCCCCUCCCCCACUUUCCACCAGCCUCCCUCCCUGUUGUCUGACUGGAAACUCAAACUGGGAAUUCGUUUGAAGAGAAACUACAUUUUUAUUGUGCUUUCUGAUCUGUCUGCUGCUGAAAAGGAACCCAAAGAUAGUAUUAAGUGGAUUUGAAGGCCUGGAGAGCCCGUCCAGGGUUUCCAUCCCCCACCCUGAUAAAAAUAAGUGCCCUGCUCCAGCGGAGAGGAGGGGAUCUUCUCAUGACUCAUUUUCUCCUUGAACGCCAUUCUUCCUCAUUCUUUUGUGGAUCUCUGAUAUAUCAGAUAAAGAUCUGUGCAUACUUGUUAACAUC